UACAUGCAAGUCGAGCGGACAGAAGGGAGCUUGCUCCCGGAUGUUAGCGGCGGACGGGUGAGUAACACGUGGGUAACCUGCCUGUAAGACUGGGAUAACUCCGGGAAACCGGAGCUAAUACCGGAUAGUUCCUUGAACCGCAUGGUUCAAGGAUGAAAGACGGUUUCGGCUGUCACUUACAGAUGGACCCGCGGCGCAUUAGCUAGUUGGUGAGGUAACGGCUCACCAAGGCGACGAUGCGUAGCCGACCUGAGAGGGUGAUCGGCCACACUGGGACUGAGACACGGCCCAGACUCCUACGGGAGGCAGCAGUAGGGAAUCUUCCGCAAUGGACGAAAGUCUGACGGAGCAACGCCGCGUGAGUGAUGAAGGUUUUCGGAUCGUAAAGCUCUGUUGUUAGGGAAGAACAAGUGCAAGAGUAACUGCUUGCACCUUGACGGUACCUAACCAGAAAGCCACGGCUAACUACGUGCCAGCAGCCGCGGUAAUACGUAGGUGGCAAGCGUUGUCCGGAAUUAUUGGGCGUAAAGGGCUCGCAGGCGGUUUCUUAAGUCUGAUGUGAAAGCCCCCGGCUCAACCGGGGAGGGUCAUUGGAAACUGGGAAACUUGAGUGCAGAAGAGGAGAGUGGAAUUCCACGUGUAGCGGUGAAAUGCGUAGAGAUGUGGAGGAACACCAGUGGCGAAGGCGACUCUCUGGUCUGUAACUGACGCUGAGGAGCGAAAGCGUGGGGAGCGAACAGGAUUAGAUACCCUGGUAGUCCACGCCGUAAACGAUGAGUGCUAAGUGUUAGGGGGUUUCCGCCCCUUAGUGCUGCAGCUAACGCAUUAAGCACUCCGCCUGGGGAGUACGGUCGCAAGACUGAAACUCAAAGGAAUUGA
rnacentral:rRNA from 1 species